rnacentral:tRNA from 1 species
GGGAUUGUGGCUCAGUGGUAGAGUGCUCGCCUCGCAUGCAUGAGGCACUGGGUUCAAUCCUCAGUACCA